AUUGAACGCUAGCGGCAGGCUUAACACAUGCAAGUCGAGCGAGAGGCGGACGGGAGAGUAAUGACUGGGAAACUGCCUGAUGGAAGGGGAUAAGUAAUGGAAACGGUAGCUACUAACGCAUACAAUCAGAUGUGCCCAGAUGGGUUUAGCUAGUAGGUGGGGUAAUGGCUCACCUAGGCCACGAUCCCUAGCUGGUCUGAGAGGAUGACCAGCCACACUGGAACUGGGACACGGUCCAGACUCCUACGGGAGGCAACAUUGGGGAAUAUUGCACAAUGGGCGCAAGCCUGAUGCAGCCAUUCCGGGUGUGUGAAUGAGGCCUUCGGGUUGUAAAGCACUUUCAGCGAGGAGACGUUACUCGCAGGAGAAACACCGGCUUAAUCCGUGCCAGCAGCCGCGGUAAUAC
rnacentral:rRNA from 1 species